UACCAAAUUAGCUGUGGCAGUAGAAUUUAUUUUCCUUUUAAUUUGUGUAUUUUUUUUUUAUAAAAAAAUAUAAAACCUUAAUCGAUAUUCCCAGUCUUAAGGUUUUUUCAGUCUUUCUUCGUCUCCCGCACGCUCUCUCCGCCGCUCUUCGCCAUCUCCAAUUUAGGGAUUAACAGGGAGUUGAAUCGAAAUCUGAUAUAAAUUUUAGGCUAAUUAAAUUGAUGCUUGUUGCGAAUUGAAGACAAAUUUCUUGGACAGAAUGGGAUUUGAUAAUGAGUGCAUACUGAAUAUCCAAUCUCUAGCCGGAGAAUACUUCUGUCCUGUUUGUCGCUUACUUGUCUACCCAAAUGAAGCAUUACAAUCGCAAUGCACCCAUCUUUACUGCAAACCAUGUUUAACAUAUGUUGUCAGCACCACUCGAGCUUGUCCUUAUGAUGGUUACUUGGUAACAGAAGCAGAUUCUAAGCCGCUUGUUGAGUCAAAUAAGGCACUUGCUGACACCAUUGGGAAGAUCAGUGUUCAUUGCCUCUACCAUAGGAGUGGCUGCACAUGGCAGGGUCCGCUUUCUGAAUGUACAGCUCAUUGUUCUGGGUGUGUAUUUGGCAAUUCUCCCGUUGUAUGUAAUCGGUGUGGUGUUCAGAUUGUGCAUCGUCAAGUUCAAGAACAUGCGCAAAAUUGCCCUAGGGUGCAGCCUCAGGCACAGCAGGCUGAGGGCGGUCAGGAAAUUUCAGCCUCAGGCACCACAGCAGCUGCUGAUCAGACUCAGGUAGCUUCUCAGGCCCAGGCAUCUCAAGCUACAACAUCCAGUACACCUGUUCAGGGCUUCAAUCCUCAGGCCAAUCCAAAUCCUCAGUCUCAAGCUGCCUCCCAGGUUGCUGUGGUUUCUUCAGAACAGUGGUCUCAACAACAGUCUCAGCAAUACUACCAGCAGUAUUCUGGAUAUGAUCCAUAUUAUCAACAAUACUACCCAUAUCAACAGCAGACAUUUCCACAGCAGCAACCUUUGCAGGUUAAUGCAUCACAAAUGGCUGGACAGAAUCCAAUGUACCCCCAGACACAACCCCAACCCCAACCUCAACCACAGGCCCAGCCUCAUUCACACUUAUCUGUUCAGGUGCCUGUGGCUGCUCAACCUCAGAACCAAGCACAAGCCAAUCAACAGCAGCAAACUCACCUUACGAUGCCACCACACUCUCAAAUUCCAGCACAAACUUACCCAACAUCCCAGGGCCAUUCCCAGCCUCAGGUUCAGCCACUUACUCAAGCUCAGCCUCAUCCACAGGUCCAAACUAUUCAACCUCAACUGCAACAUGGGCUCAUGCCUCAGUAUCAGCAACAUCAUUCCCAGAUUCAACUACCACAGCCCCAGCUUCAUCCUGUUCCUCAAGCUCAACCUCAUUCACAAGCUCAGCCACAGGGGCAGCAGCUGCAGCCUCUGCCCCCUCCCCCGCCCCAGCCCCUGCUGCAGCCGCAUCCUCAACCAAGCCAGCCCUUGAAUCCAAAUUUGUUGCCUCAGACACAGCACCCUGCAGCCCAGGCUGUGACAGGUCAUCAGUCUUAUUCACAAUCACAGCCUCACCAGCAAAUGCAGCUGGUAACACCACAAAAUCCCAUGCACAUGCCUGCACAAGGUGGCCUUCAUCCACAGCAACAUCCUGCUGAAAUGCAGAAUUCAUACCCUCAGCAACCUCCUCAGAUGCGCCCGCCCCAAUCUCAUGCUCAAAUUCCAAACCAACAACAGCCUGGUUUGUUGCCUUUACCUGGUCCUAUGCUGCAACAAGCUCAUCAUCAUUCUCUUCAACAUCCGCUUUCAGUUCAAACGCAAUCAGUUAUGCAGCCUCCCACAUCACUUAUGUCUCAGCAAUAUAUGCAGCAGCAACCUCCGUCAACCCAACCGACGGGCUUGGUUCAGCCUCAAAUGCAUCAGCAAGGUCCUUUUGUGCAGCAACAACAGUCAUUGCAAUCACAAUUACGCCCCCCAGGUCCCCCUCCGUCCUUUCUGCAGCCUCCUCAUGCCUAUCCACAACUGCAGCAAAAUGUUGCAGGAUCGCAUGCUGUGCAGCCCUAUCCAACGCCUACUCCUACUGGGAGACCUAUGACACCAAAUCAUGGACUACAAUCACAGCCGUAUCCACAGUCUGCACCUGGUAUGCUGGUUAAACCUAUGCAGCUUGGUGUGAACCAGCCAUCUUCUUAUCAGAAUAAUGUGCUUAGAACCAACAAUCAAUCUGGAUUAAAUUCACAGCCAAUAUCAGAGGUGCCGGGAGAUCAUGGUACUUUACAUGUGGCUGAGCAAAAAGCAGAUUUAUCUUCCCAGGGAUUUGCUAAGAAGGAAGAUAAUGAGUUGGAUGUGGCAUCUAGUCUUGGAGGUGAUGUGGUCAAGACUAAUUCUUCAAAAUCCAAUACUGAUAUGAAAUCUAUAGAUGAAAAACCUGCUGGUGAUGUCGGGGAUAAUAGUAGUGGGUUUGAUAUAUCUACUAAGGUGACACAAGAAUCUAGACGGACAGAUCUUGUAUUGAAUAGAGAUACUUUUUCUAAGAAUAUGGUCAAGGGUGAGGCUAUUGAGGACCAGAAAGAUGUUGACAAUGUUGAGCGAAAGGUCGAAGAAAAUAAAAUUAAGGAUGGCCCUUUGCUGAAAACUCCCACGUUGCCGGAGGCUAAGCUUAGUGAAGAACAGAAUGGGAAGAUUCAGAGAGAAAGAAUUCAACCUCAAGAUCAAGGUACUGCUAAAGGUCCUACUGGAAAUGAAUUUACAGGUAUCCCUCCAUCUAGUCAGGUGCAGCCUGGCAGCUUUCUGCAGCAGCCCCUACAGAUGCCUUAUGGGUCUAAUAGUAACCAACAAAAAUCUGCUGCUUCUGCAAUGUUACAAGCACCUCCACCAGGACUGCCUUCACAUGCACAAGCACCAGGACUUGCUCCCAGUCAAGUUAGGCCUCAGGGCCCUGGACAGACUUUAGUUCCACCUGAAAAUUUUGCUCCUUCCUUUGGCAGAGGACCUAGUUAUGGCCCUCAAGGGCCUUAUAAUCAAGGUCCUGUUUCUGGUGCUCCUAGGAUACCUCAAGGUGAAACUCUUGUACAUCCACCAUUUGGUCCCCCAUCUCUUAAUGCUUUUGACUCGCAUGGUGCACCAUCAUAUGGCCCUGAGGGUCAUUUGGUUCAGCAGCGUCCUGCAAACGUGUUGAAUUUUGAUCAGGGACAAUUUGACGAAGAUCUUAAACAAUUUUCUAGGCCUUCUCAUUUAGAUACUGAGCCUGUUCCUAAAUAUGGGAGCUACUUUUCAUCAACCAGAUCUAUUGAUAGAGGUCCUCAUGGUUUUGCCAAGGAUGCAGGACCUUGGGCUCAUGACAAGGAACCUCGCGGUCUGAAUUUUGAUCCUAUGAUUGGCUCUGGUUCUUCUCGAUUCUUGCCACCAUAUCAUCCUGAUGAUGCAGGAGAAAGACCAGUUGGUCUUCCUGAAGAGACUCUAGGCAGACCAGAUUUUCUUGGAACAGUUACUGGCUAUGGUCGGCAUCGUAUGGAUGGUUUUAUCUCUAGAAGUCCAGGAAGAGAAUACUCAGGUAUUUCCACACACAGAUUUGGAGGAUAUCCUGGUGAUGAGAUAGAUGGCAGGGAGCGCCGGUUCAAUGAUAGAUUUUCAGGUUUUCCUGGGCAUAUACAUAGGGGUGGAUUCGAGAGUUCUGACCACAUGGCAGAGCAUUUUGGUCCAGAUAUUCGACCUCCACACUUUAGAAGGGGUGAACAUUUUGGUCGUAAUAACAUGCCUGGUCAGUUGCGGAUGGAAGGACCUAUUGGCUUUGGUGAUUUUUCUAGCCAUGAACAAAUGGGAGAAUUUGAUGGGCCUGGAAACUUCCGUCAACCACGACUUGGAGAGCCAGGAUUUAGAAGCAGCUAUUCGCUUCGAGAAUUUCCUAUUGAUGGUGGAAUCUAUACAGGUGAUAUGGAUUCAUUUGAAAAUUUGAGAAAGAGAAAACCAGUGAGCAUGGGUUGGUGCCGUAUUUGUAAAGUCGACUGUGAAACAGUUGAAGGCUUGGACCUGCACUCACAAACAAGGGAGCACCAGAAGAUGGCUAUGGAUAUGGUUGCGAUCAUCAAACAAAAUGCGAAGAAACAGAAACAAACCACCAGUGAUCACUCCCUACGCAAUGAAUCAAACAAGUCAAGGAAUGCAAAAUUUGAAAGCCGCUCAAAUAAGAUUAAGUCUUGAUAUAUGCUGUCCCAUAGAUUGUGGUUGUUCCCUUGCUGGCUUGGGAUUGAGUUUGUCGGUUUGGUAUUUGGCACUUAGUGAUGUAGGUCAGUCACCCUUGCCUCUUUUCUACUUCUGGGUGGUUUAUGCUGGUCCUGUCAUUUCAGGUUGCUGCCAUGUUAAUGGAGAUGGUUUUUGGAACUGACGUUCAGUGGCAAUUUUUUCAAUUCAACCUCCCUUUUUUCGGCGAAGCAGACAACAUAAUGGCUGAAAGUUCACUGGGAAGGUUUUGACACUCAUCUUUUUUAGAUGUGGUAAGAUUGUGUUCAGCUUUGCGGUAAACUUUUGCUUUUGUAAUUUCCCCCCCUUGAAAUUAGUUAACUGUAAGGUAUUAUAUACGUUGCCUUAUUUAUACUGGUUUUGUUUUAUAUCUUCUGCUAAAUUAAGCUUUUACAUUUUUAUGUUGAA